rnacentral:misc_RNA from 1 species
UUUCCGUAGGUGAACCUGCGGAAGGAUCAUUAUUGAAUAAACCUGAUGUGGCUGUUAGCUGGCUUUUCGAAGCAUGUGCUCGUCCGUCAUCUUUAUCUCUCCACCUGUGCACAUUUUGUAGUCUUGGAUACCUCUCGUGGCAACUCGGAUUUUAGGGUCGCUGUGCUGUACAAGUCGGCUUUCCUUUCAUUUCCAAGACUAUGUUUUUAUAUACACCAAAGUACGUUUAAAGAAUGUCAUCAAUAGGAACUUGUUUCCUAUAUAAUUAUACAACUUUCAGCAACGGAUCUCUUGGCUCUC